AGGACGAACGCUGGCGGCGUGCUCAACACAUGCAAGUCGAGCGAGGCCCUUCCUUCGGGAAGGUGCCCUAGCGGCGAACGGGUGAGUAACACGUGGGCAACCUGCCCCUAGCACUGGGAUAAGCCCGGGAAACGGUCUAAUACCGGAUAUGACCUUCGAGGGCAUCCUUGAAGGUGUAAAGGAUUCUGGCUAGGGAUGGGCCCGCGGCCUAUCAGCUUGUUGGUGGGUAAUGGCCUACCAAGGCGACGACGGGUAGCCGGCCUGAGAGGGCGACCGGCCACACUGGGACUGAGACACGGCCCAGACUCCUACGGGAGGCAGCAGUGGGAAUCUUGCACAAUGGGCGAAAGCCUGAUGCAGCGACGCCGCGUGAGGGAUGACUGCCUUCGGGUUGUAAACCUCUUUCAGCAGGGACGAAGCGAAAGUGACGGUACCUGCAGAAGAAGCACCGGCAACUACGUGCCAGCAGCCGCGGUAA
rnacentral:rRNA from 1 species